CCUGAUUUGCCAGUGAUUUUUCAUAGCUCCUCCUGGCUUUCCUAAUUCCCUCCUUAAAUUCUCUUCUGGCUUCUUCAUCUUCAAGAGCUCUAUUUGACUCUAGCUUCCUAAAUUUUAGAUACUUUUGCUUUUUCUACUUGACUAAAUUCAUCAUUCCUCCUUUUUAGGACGUGCCUGUCCCAUAUCCUGUGCGGUUGGCCUUUAAACAUGCUUUGCAUGUCAGUUGUGCACUUGCCCAGAAACAGCACUGUUAAUAUGUUCUCAUAACUUGCCCCAGUUGUGAGUUGGAGAGCUACGAGAGAGGAAGCGGCACACAGGUCCAGGGGUGAAGUUUAAAAGGGAAAAGCUUUGCAGCAACCCAGGUUUAACCAGCGCACGGAUCGUGUGUUGGAGAACAAGGAAGGUUCAGGCAUAAAAGGGAGACACUGCCUAGCAGAGCGGUCAUCAACGGAGUGGUCUGAAUCAGAGUGAUAGGGCUUUGGCUCUUCCGGGUGUCUGAGAGGUGAUGCACCAUCAAUAACUCACACUGAGACGUAAGGCGAGAUAUCGGCUUUUAUUGACUGGAAGAAGGAACCAGGAGUGAGUGUCCAUCAUACUAUGUCCUGGAGACUGAGGCCGAGCGUCAGGCCUCAGAUCGCCUUUAUACAGGGGCCUGUGGGAGGAGCCACAGGAGCAGUCAGCAGGGGGCGUGUCCAGACAGGCACAUAGUUCACCACAAUAGCCUUGAAGAGCUAAAGCCUCAAGAUCAUCACUCUGCCUCUGGCCACUCCAACAACGACAGCUGCGAUGAUGGUCUGGAGAGUUUAUCUUACAGAAGCUCAGGGAUAAUGGUAUUGAAGGCUGAACUAAAAUUAACUAAAGGAAUCUUGAUAUAUGUACUGGGGAGCUUAUGUGCUGUAGUAUGAAAUCAAGACUGGUGUUACCUGCGUUAUCUAUAAAUAUGUUGGCUCUGUAGAUGAACUACAGUGGAAUGAGAAAAGUUUGAGUUAUGGAUUUGAGAAGUGAUAUCAUCAGCAGAAAUGAAAUGACAAUCAAAAGUAAAUGGCACCUUGUUAAAUGUUUUGUAAAUUUCAUCCGUAUAAUUUUAAAUCCACUACCCUAGCCAUGUUCCUGUGCUCUGUUACAAAAAAAUUAAUUAUUAAAAAUAUUUGUCUUUAAUAAUUCAGGGUCUCUUUUCCCUGAAGGAAAUUUUUGCAGAUGCUAAAAAGCUGAGAUAAUAACAGAAGAUUCUUAAGGAAAACCACUAUGUAUCAAGGAGUACCUGUACAAACAGUUGGUCAUUGUUGUAUUAUUGUUGCAUGCACCAAAGUACAGCGAAAAACUUUGUUUUGCAUACCAUCCAGAUGGAUUAUUCCAAACAUAAGCAUAUCAAAGUAGUACAAAGGGAAAAUCAAUAACAGGAUGCAGAAUUUAGUGUUACAGUUACAGAGAAAGUAACAGAAUCACCACAUCCAUGCUGACACUUUUGCCCAUCUGCAGUACACAAAUCUCUUUUGCCUGAAUUAGGACUGUAUAUCCUGUACUUUGCCCCCUGAGGUAUCUAUCUAAAUGCUUCUUAGAUGUGUGAUUGUAUCUGCUUCCACCAUCUCUGCUGGCAGCUUGUUUCAGAUAUCAACCACUAUCUGUGUAUAGAAGCUUAACCCUCAGAUCCUCCUCAAAACACUUUUCAUCUUAAAACUAUGCCCUCUUGUUUUUGAUAUUCCUACCAUAAGAAAAGAAUUUUGACCUAUAUAUGCCUCUCAUAACCUUAUCUACUUCUAUCAGGUCACCCUCUCAACUUCCAUUGCUCCAGUGAAAACAAGUCCAUUCUAUCCAAAAACUACAGCCCUGCAAUCCAGGUAACAUCCCAAUGUAAGCACAUCCUUCCUAUAGUGUGGUGACCAGAACUAUUUCAUUACAAGUGCAGUCUAACUGGUAUUUUAUAAAGUUGCAACAUGGUGUCCCAACUCAUGAAGGCAAGUAUAUCAUAUGUCUUCUUUACAACUCUAUUUACCUGUGUCGCCACUUUCAGGAAGCAGUGGACUUGGACUUGUAGGUCCUAUGCUCAUUAACAUUUCCUGAAGGGCUAUCAUUUACAGUACAUGCCCUAACCCUUUUUGAUGUCUCAACAUGAAUCACUUUGCACUUGUGGAGAUUAAAUUAUAUCGGCCAUUGCCUUCCCCAACUUUCCUACUGAGUUAUAUCCUGACUUCUAACAAUAAUUUGCCCCAAUGCUGUGUGCUCAGUUCUCUACUCGAUUUCCUUUAUACCUAUGACCAGAUGCAGUUUCAUUCACUGAUGACAACAGUGUUGUAGGCUGGAUCAACAAUGCUGAGACAAAGUACAGGGAAGAGAUCAGUCAGGUUGUCAGAACAACAACUUAGCCCCUCAUGUCAUCUGGUUGUUGGCUUAAGGAAGCUGUGAGAAUGCAAGGGGGGGGGGGGUGUUGUGAGACGCUGUCAACAAAGAUGCUGUGAAGAUGGCCGACAGCUUUAAGUUCCUUGGCAUCCACAUAACCAGCAACCCCUCCUGGUCCACCUCACACUGAUGUGGUAAUCAAAGAAGCACAUAAGCACAGGUACUUUCUUAGGCAAGUAAGAAAAUUUGGUUUGUACAUAAUGAUUAUAUUAAACUUUUACAGGUAUGCUAUAGAACGAUCCUGAUAGUGUUGGAUUCUAAUGUUUUUAAUCCAAGGUUCUUUCAAAAGUUGGAAAAGAGACACAAAACUUGUUGCUUCAUGAUUGUUUUUUAAGCUUUAAUAGAACAAACAAAAAUUGAAAACAGACAAUAAGAGGAGCAGAGGCAGUAGCAGAAAGGACAGAAGCAAAAAGUGAUGGAGGCAUCACUGAGCUCUUUUUAUACCACAGAGAUAAAUAUUCCAUUCAAAUUCAACAAUCAUUGCCAACUAAUCAGUUAGCCCCUGUUCAACUACUGUAUUGUAUUACCAAAAAAGCUUCCAGAAUUAUACAAAUGUAACCAUUAUAUUUGCAUAUGCAUGCUGUGGCCACUAGGAAACAUACUAAACAGUUACACGUAUACACAUAGUUAUAAAAAUACAAAUAGGUAAUUGUUAAGCUGCAAAGAAAAUAACAAUUAGACAGUCUAAUUCAACAAUGGGUAAUAUCAGCUUGGUCUGGCAACUGCUCUGUUGGAACCUGUGGAGAGUAGUAAAUACUGCCUAAGCCAUCACAGGCUCAUCACUUCCUUCAGUUCAAUCCAUCUUCACAGUGCAUUGUUUCAUGAAGGCUAACAGUACCUUCGAAGGUGCCUGGCAUCUGGCCAUUCCCCUUUCUCUCUUCUACAAUCUAAUAGAAGAUAUUGGAAUUUGGAAGCCCAUACAACCAGACACAAGAACAUAUUCUUGCCCACUACUAUCAGACAUCUGAACCAAUGAUCUCUUUUACAUUCUUUUAGUGGUACUGACAUGUUCUUGGACAAACAAAAUGAGUUCUGUUUCCCUUGGUUAUUCCACCAUUACUACUUUAGCAUUUUGUUUUGCAAUGCUUCAGAUUGUACUGAUAUUUUUGCACCAUUUUGUUGUUUUGUGCUUGUUGCUGUAAUUGUUGUAUUUAUUAUUAGCAUGUAUACUAUUUACACUGUGAACUU